UACGUAGGGUGCAAGCGUUAAUCGGAAUCACUGGGCUUAAAGCGUGUGUAGGCGGACUUCUAAGUACCUUGUGAAAUCCCACGGCUCACCCGUGGAACUGCUCGGUAUACUGGUUGUCUUGAGCCACUUAGGGGCUACCGGAACAAAUGGUGGAGCGGUGAAAUGCGUAGAUAUCAUUUGGAACGCCAAUGGUGAAAACAGGUAGCUGGGAGUGUGCUGACGCUGAGACACGAAAGCCAGGGGAGCAAACGGG
rnacentral:rRNA from 1 species